AUGGCUUUCAAUGCUAAUUUAACAUUAUUUAUAAAUAUAUUAAAUAGAAGCGUUCCCAAAACAGAACCCUGAGGGACACCACUUACCACUUUUGUCCAGCUUGAAAAUUUACCAUUAAUGACAACUUAUUGUACUCUAUCCUUAAGCCAAUGUUCUACCCAAAAAUAACAAUAUUCAUCUAGACCACUUUCAUUCCAUGCUCUAGUAACCCCUCUCAUGGAUUAUUGUAACUCUCUCCUAAUAGGUCUUCCAAGAAGCUGUAUUGCCCCGCUAUAGCCUGUAAUGAAUUCUGCCACCAUACUGAUUUUUUCCUCUCCAGUCGCUCCUCUCACACCUCACCCCUCUGUCAGUCCUUACAUUGGAUUCCUGUAUCCUAUAGGAGUCAAUUCAAAGUACUAAUCCAUGCCUAUAAAGCACUGAACAAUUUUAGCCCCUCUUAUAUAUUUUCACUGAUUCAUAAGUAUACCCCUUCUCAGUCUCUCCG